GGAAUAUUACACGAUAUACUUGACUAUAGAACUGAUAGAAUGCAGAUUACAAAAUAGAAGAACAAUCAAUUAAGUGGGAAGACCCUAGGACCGAUCCAGCACUCGAAAGCACAUUGACAGAAGGAAAGGAUCCUAAAAAAGUUGCAGUGUGAAGAUUUAUGCUGUGUGAUCAAAGCAGUGAGCAAGAAUAUAAAUUGACUGAUGGGUGAUGCUUUAUCUCAAAAAUCAGAAUUAGCUCACACCAUAUCGAUGAAAAUGUUCGGUGGAGCAACUAGAACUGUCAGCAAAAAAAGAAAUGUGACGGCUGGAAACUCACUUUUGAAGAAUGAUUUGCUCACCAAAUGGGGUUUUGGCAUGAAA